GACGCACGCUGGCGGCGUGCUUAACACAUGCAAGUCGAGCGGAGCGGCGAACGGGUGAGUACCGCGUGAGUAACUGCCCCCCUCUCUGGGAUCACAGUUGGAAACGGCUGCUCAUACCGGAUAGUUGGGGUUGACUCUCUUCCUAUCAGCUUGUUGGUGGGGUAGUGGCCUACCAAGGCGACGACGGGUAGCCGGCCUGAGAGGGCGACCGGCCACAUUGGGCUGGGAUACGGCCCAAACUCCUUCUGGAGGCAUCAGUGGGGAAUAUUGCACAAUGGGGGAACCCCUGAUGCAGCAACGCCGCGUGCGGGAUGACGGCCUUCGGGUUGUAAACCGCUUUCAGCCAGGACGCGGUAGUGGCAGAAGAAGCACCGGCUAACUACGUGCCAGCAGCCGCGGUAAUUC
rnacentral:rRNA from 1 species